GCCUACGGGGGGCAGCAGUGGGGAAUAUUGCACAAUGGGGGAAACCCUGAUGCAGCGACGCCGCGUGGGCGAGGAAGUACCUCGGUAUGUAAAGCCCUAUCAGCAGGGAAGAAACAGGACAGUACCUGACUAAGAAGCCCCGGCUAACUACGUGCCAGCAGCCGCGGUAAUACGUAGGGGGCAAGCGUUAUCCGGAUUCACUGGGCGUAAAGGGAGCGCAGGCGGCAUGGCAAGUCUGAUGUGAAAAUCCGGGGCCCAACCCCGGAACUGCAUUGGAAACUGUUUAUCUAGAGUGUCGGAGAGGC
rnacentral:rRNA from 1 species